UUUAUGUAGGUGCAACCCAACCGGCACAGAACGUACUUGGCAGCAACUGAAGAUGAAAUAUAAAAAUAUACUUCAAACAGGUAAGGUAUAACUUCAUUACAAGCAAUUGUUAUGUUGUUUAGCCUACCCUACCUAAUUAAACCGCAUUCAGUGGCUACAUUCAACAUGUGAUAUAUUUAAGUAGUUAGUGAAAUUUUCUAAGCAAAAAAAAAAGUAAAUUUUUCAGCCAUCCCAACACUGCCAGUAUUUAAUAUUGUCUACUUGAAAGUAACACCUAAAUGCCUUUAUACAUACAAGUCUCCAAAUUUGUGCUUACUGGACAUGUUCAAAUUUGACCUCCAUAGCUAAUAGAAAAAAGGCUGAGGGCCGAAAAACAGGUGGGGGUCCACCACCACCACCACUCACAGAGGCUGAAGAGAUGGCCCUCAGUCAAAACAGUGGGCGACCUAUUGCUGAAGACAUCUCUGGAGGAAGCUCAUCUGACCCAACCACCCCCCAGGACACAAGGGCCUACAUAAGAGGUUAGUUAUUCAAAUUAAUGAUAUAUGUACAUUCAUCCUUUUGCCAGUGUUAGCUCAGUGACGCCCACCCAUCCAUUUUAGACACAACUUGGCACACUGAUUUUCUUGUAGUGGUACAAUUCUUUGCAAUUGACUGCUGUUACUCCUUCAGACAUCAUAAUCUAUUUUAAGGUGACUCGAGAAUUAUAUAUUUGAAAAAUUGUGAUGUGGCCUGCACACUGUUGUAAAAACAAAAUUCAAAUUAGGUGGGGCACUUUUCUGGGUAAAGUUAUAAUUUAACUGUCUAAUCUUCUUCAUCUUCUACCAGUUACUGAUGGUGUAAUCUGUCUGGUGGAGCCUUCUGCCAUAACAGACCUCUAUGCAGUUGUAAGUACUCUUAAUACUCCACAGAUGUUUCAUAAUGGGUUAAAGUAGAACACAAAAAUUGUUAAUUUUCAUUACAGGAGGAUGAUGAUGAUGAAGACACCUUGUCAGCUGCCACAGAGAGGGAAGAUACAGAGAGACCUAUUGAGGUUCACACCUUAAAAGUAACAUCUAACAGUUGAUGAUAGUGUUGUACCAAAAAUAAAACUUGCACAUUCUUUUUCUGUAAGAGCGAAAAAGAUGCUGGAAAUUACAAUGAGGAAGAGGGUCCAUCCACCUCCACAGCACAACUUACCUCAGUAAGAUGUUGUUCAGCAUUGGCCCAUGACUUACAAUGAAACUAAGUAGACCUGGCACUGUGAAAUUCAAAGUCAUUUUUUUGUGUUCCUAUAGCUCCCUGUGAAACAGCUGUACAAGGUGUACUUAAAUAAACAAAUUGAAAAAUGUAAUUUAGAAAUGGACCACAUAAGGCUGCAGAUGCGAAAGGCAAAACUAGAAAUACAACUGCUGGAACAUCAGUUAAAGGUGGGUGAGGUGCCCACAGGUGGAUGAUGUUACUUGUUUGAACAACAUAAAAAAAUAUUAACUACUGUACUGCAUUUGUACUUGCAGGAAAUAAAGAAGACUUAAUAAAAAGAAAGGCAUAUUGUCUUUAUUUGACACUGGGGAGGUGAUGGGUCAGUCAGAAAUGAUGGUAGCAUAUUGUGUCUCUGACUGCUCUUUCAUCUCGUGCGUCAGGAUCAUUAUCAGGAUCGUUCACUGGUUGAGUAGGACAUUGUUCUCCUCUAAUUGUGGCAAUGUUGUGGAGAAUCACACAUGCCACAGUAAUGUCACAUGCCCUUUCUGGGGUGACCCUGAGCCUACGAAGGCACUGGAACCGGGCCUUGAGCAUCCCAAUGGUCAUCUCUACCCUGGCUCGUGUCCUGCAGUGAGCCAAGUUAUAACGUUGCUGUGGGCCGGGCUCAGGAUCAGAGUAAGGGGUCAGCAAAUAGGGCUGGCAGGGGUACCCUCUGUCACCGAGCAGGUAACCAUCGAACUCUCCUAUGAUAAUACGAGGAUACAGUUUAAAUUUUCAGUUGCAAUAGGAGGAAACAAAAUAUUGAUUAUAAUAGGAUAUAGCUAUAUAUAUAUAAACUCACCACAGGCAAAUCUAGCACUCAGUGUACACUCACGAAACAUUCGCGAGUCAUGCACAGACCCAGGCCACUUUGCUUCCACGUUGCUGAUGAUGUGGGCUGCAUCACAUAUGAUCUUCACAGUGCAGAACAGUAAUUAGCUGCAGUAGCUGUAUUGUGAAGUAUCUUUCAUUUGGAAUGCUAAAGGCUACUAUUUACGCCUACCUGCACAUUAAUGCUGUGGAAAGACUUCCUAUUCACAUAAUCUCCUUCAUUUACUGAAGGAGCUAUGAUAGGAAUAUGAGUGCCAUCUAUGCAGCCAAUCACACCUGGAAACCCUAAAAUAUAUCAAAUUAACUGAUUAGUGCUUCAAGUCUCAAAGCUUCAUACUAAAUAAAUUAAUUAUUGCUUAGACUGAUACCUGCAAUUCUGUGGAAUUCUUCUUUGAUGAGUCUUGUAGGUCUGUGACUUGGGAACACCACAAAAGUGUACAGUAAAACGUUUCAGUGCUAGAGUCACAUUUCUGACAGCCCGACAGACGGUUGCCUUGGAAAUAUGCUCAGCGUCACCGAUGUUAUAUAGAAAACUCCCGUUGGCAAAAAAACGAAGUGCAACACAAAGAAUUUGUUCCGAACUGAGAGCAUGUCCACGAUGUGUCAUAUGAACGAUAUGAGGGCUGAGAAUAUUGUUCAGAUGAAUGAUCGAUUGAGCAGAAAAACGGUAACGUAAACAGAUGAUCAUCAGGGAAUGAUAAAACAUCCAAGCGGGGUCUGAUCACCCUCUCCCGACGGAGAUUUCUGCGGAGUAUUUGUGCUUCAAUAUCAACUGGCUCUUCAAGAAAAGGACACGCCAUGUCUGACUCCUCCUUCAGUCUGCAGGCUUCAGCUAAAGAGGAGAAACUCAGGGUUAGUUGAAGAAAACCUGCUAGCGAGCAGGUUAGCUUCACGGAGUAUGUUGCCAUAGUAACUGACUCAGAGUUAAGCUGAACUGGCUUCGUGAAACCGAAAACCCAGAGUUUCCUUCAACUCUGAGUCAACUAACUGAGUUUUCACUAAACCCGCUUUCUGAAACAGGGCCCAGAUUGAACAUUUUGCAACCAUUUAGUAAAGAAAGAGCAUCCAUUGGAGAAUGCGGGUAGUGAUCCCGUUACUUCUCGCAUGCUAAGCGAGUGCUCUACCAUUUGAGCUAAUUCCCCACACUUGACAAAAAACGACACGUUGCUGCCCAGAGCUAGGCGAAAAUUAUUCUCUUUUUUUUUUUGAUGUUUCAGACAGUUGCCGUAGGUUUCAUUCUUUUUGUCCUCAUUACCAGUAAAAAACUUUUAUUCUCAAGGAAGACCAGAUUGAACAUUUUCCAACCAUUUAGUAAAGAAAGAGCAUCCAUUGGAGAAUGCGGGUAUCGAUCCCGCUACUUCUCGCAUGCUAAGCGAGCGCUCUACCAUUUGAGCUAAUUCCCCACACUUGACAAAAUACGACACGUUGCUGCCCAGAGCUAGGCGAAAAUGAUUCUCUCUUUUUUAUUUUGAUGUUUCAGACAGUUGCCGUAGGUUUCAUUCUUUUUGUCCUCAUUACCAGUAAAAAACUUUUGUUCUCAAGGAAGACCAGAUUGAACAUUUUCCAACCAUUUAGUAAAGAAAGAGCAUCUAUUGGAGAAUGCGGGUAUGGAUCCCGCUAUUUUUCACAUGCUAAGCGAGCGUUCUACCAUUUGAGCUAAUUCCCCACACUUGACAAUGAAUGACACGUGGCUGCCCAGAGCUAGGCGAAAAUGAUUCUCUUAUUUUUAUUUAAUGAUGUUUCAGACAGUGCUUGCCGUAGGUUUCAUUCUUUCUUUUUGUCCUCAUUACCAGUAAAAAACUUUUGUUCUCAAGGAAGACCAGGGCCCUGUUUCAGAAAGCAGGUUUAACAAACUCUGAGUUUAAACCUGAACUCUGGGUUGACUAACUGAGUUGUCAAACUCAGAGUUUUCGGUUUCAGAACAGGUGAUAACAAUGAGUUCAAUCAACUCUGAGUUAAGUUAACCCUGAGUAAAGCGCGUGCAUGAGGAGAUAAAAAGCCCUCAUCAAAGGAACGCAGAUAACCUGAUUCGUCAUGGCAACAGGAGAAUAAAGGGCUCGAACCUUCUACUUCUCCCCAGAGAAGAUAGAAAUAUUAAUGAAUGCGUAUGCAGAAUAAGAGUAUAUAUUUAAGAAAAAAAGCAAUACUGUAGCAGCAGCAAAAUAACGUGAGCUGGCGUGGCAGGAAAUUGCUGACCGAGUCAAUGCGUGAGUAUUAAUUGAAUAAAAAGAAGUUUUAUCUCGAGUGUUCCACUUAUUCAACAUUUAUUUUAUAUAUAUAUAUAUAUAUAUAUAUAUAUAUAUAUAUAUAUAUGUGUGUGUGUGUGUGUGUGUGUGUGUGUGUGUGUGUGUGUGUGUGUGUGCGCGUGUUUAAUAUUUAUGCAGGUGCAACCCAACCGGCACAAAACGUACUUGGCAGCAACUGAAGAUGAAAUAUAGAAAUAUACUUCAAACAGGUAAGGUAUGACUUCAUUACAAGCAAUUGUUAUGUUGUUUAGCCUACCCAACCUAAUUAAACCGCAUUCAGUGGCUACAUUCAACAUGUGAUAUAUUUAAGUAGUUAGUGAAAUGUUCUAAGCAAAAAAAAAAGUAAAUUUUUCAGCCAUCCCAACACUGCCAGUAUUUAAUAUUGUCUAUUUGAAAGUAACACCUAAAUGCCUUUAUACAUACAAGUCUCCAAAUUUGUGCUUACUGGACAUGUUCAAAUUUGACCUCCAUAGCCAAUAGAAAAAAGGCUGAGGGCCGAAAAACAGGUGGGGGUCCACCACCACCACCACUCACAGAGGCUGAAGAGAUGGCCCUCAGUCAAAACAGUGGGCGACCUAUUGCUGAAGGCAUCUCUGGAGGAAGCUCAUCUGACCCAACCAACCCCCAGGACACAAGGGCCUACAUAAGAGUUACUGAUGGUGUAAUCUGUCUGGUGGAGCCUUCUGCCAUAACAGACCUCUAUGCAGUUGAGGAUGAUGAUGAAGACACCUUGUCAGCUGCCACAGAGAGGGAAGAUACAGAGAGACCUAUUGAGGUUCACACCUUAAAAGUAACAUCUAACAGUUGAUGAUAGUGUUGUACCAAAAAUAAAACUUGCACAUUCUUUUUCUGUAAGAGCGAAAAAGAUGCUGGAAAUUACAAUGAGGAAGAGGGUCCAUCCACCUCCACAGCACAACUUACCUCAGUAAGAUGUUGUUCAGCAUUGGCCCAUGACUUACAAUGAAACUAAGUAGACCUGGCACUGUGAAAUUCAAUGUCAUUGUUUUGUGUUCCUAUAGCUCCCUGUGAAACAGCUGUACAAGGUGUACUUAAAUAAACAAAUUGAAAAAUGUAAUUUAGAAAUGGACCACAUAAGGCUGCAGAUGCGAAAGGCAAAACUAGAAAUACAACUGCUGGAACAUCAGUUAAAGGUGGGUGAGGUGCCCACAGGUGGAUGAUGUUACUUGUUUGAACAACAUAAAAAAUAUUAACUACUGUACUGCAUUUGUACUUGCAGGAAAUAAAGAAGACUUAAUAAAAAGAGAGGCAUAUUGUCUUUAUUUGACACUGGGGAGGUGAUGGGUCAGUCAGAAAUGAUGGUAGCAUAUUGUGUCUCUGA